UACGUAGGAUCCGAGCGUUGUUCGGAAUCAUUGGGCGUAAAGGGCGCGUAGGUGGUUCUGUAUGUCUACCGUGAAAGCGUACGGCUCAACCGUAUUUUGUCGGUAGAAACUGCAGGACUUGAGGCUGGGAGGGGCUGGUGGAAUUCCCUGUGUAGCGGUGAAAUGCGUAGAGAUGGGGGAGAACACUCGUGGCGAAGGCGGCCAGCUGGACCAGUUCUGACACUGAGGCGCGAUAGCGUGGGGAGCAAACAGG
rnacentral:rRNA from 1 species